ACGGGGGGAGCAAGCGUUGUUCGGAUUUACUGGGCGUAAAGGGCGCGUAGGCGGCCAGGUAAGUCAGGAGUGAAAGUUUGCGGCUCAACCGUAAAAUUGCUUUUGAUACUGCCGGGCUAGAAUUAGGAUGAGGUCAGCGGAAUGUGGCAUGUAGCGGUGAAAUGCAUAGAUAUGCCAUAGAACACCAAUUGCGAAGGCAGCUGGCUAGACCUGGAUUGACGCUGAGGCACGAAAGCGUGGGGAGCGAACAGGA
rnacentral:rRNA from 1 species